AUUUUGUGAUAAUGGUUUGAAGGAUAACGUAGACGUAUAAAUACAGGCUACAGCACUAUUAUAACUCCUAAUUAGAAACAACUAUUAUUUUAAAAUGAAGCUAUCAUUUGUAUUUUGCAUACUAAUGCUCUUGGUGUGCCCAAAAUUGACCAGUGGAUCAUGUAGAGAAUACUGUAUGCAGUUUGAUAAGGAGCUGUUAUGUGGUAUAAAAGGAAAUACCUAUUACAAUUAUUGCGAAAUGAGAGAAUGCUACAAUGGUGAGUUUAAGUAUAAAGGACAAUGCGUAAGAUAAAUUAUUAUGAUUUAAAGGAAAACGAUAUAUUAUUAUCUAUUUGCCACAUUAAAAUUAAAAAAAAUAA